rnacentral:rRNA from 1 species
AUGGCCAAAAGCUCCAUCUCGCUGAUCCGUUGCAGGCAGGAGGACAUUCAUCAAGUGACAACCAUCCUCGCCUGCUCCAUCAAGGAAUUUCCACUAACCUACCUGGGCUUGCCGCUUUCUGUUACUCGGCUGCCCAAAUCUGCUCUCCAACCGCUUAUUGACAGAACCGCGGACUACUUGCCCACCUGGAAAGCUCGCUAUCUUCGUCGGGCUGGCAGACUUAUCUUGAUCAACUCA